AUGGUGGUGCAUGACUGUAAUCCCAGCACUCAGGAGGCUGAGGCAGGAGGAUCCCUGAGAGUUCAAGACCAGCCUGGGCUACAAAGUGAGCUCAAGGCCAGCCUGAACUGCAUAGCGAGACCCUGUCUCAAAAAGACAAAAAAACCCACAAAACAUUAUUUUCAAGAAUUCAGAAAUAAAGGACAGAAAAGAAGGCAGAGAGAGAGAGAAAAAGGGAAAGAAAGAGAGACCAAGAUACAACCAACUGUUCCAAUGGAAUCUGCUGAAAAGACUACCUUUACUUACUCCACUGGCUGCUUUUGCAUCUCUGCCAAGAUCAAAGACCAUGUAUGUACAUGUAGGCCCAUUUCUUGACUCCCUGUUCUGUUCCAUGUAUCUAUAUUCUAUCUUCACGUAAACACAACACUGUCAUGAUGACUGUACCUGUGUAGUAAGCUUUUUAAAACUGGGUUUAUGAUUCCUCCAACCAUGUCUUUCUGUUUCAAGAAUUUGUUUUAGCUAUUUUAAUUCCUCUAUCCUUCAUGUAAGUUUUACAACCUGGUUAUAUAAAAAAAUAAUUAGUUGUGGCCUGAUACAAGGAUAAUUUGGUAGGUUCUGGACAGGCUCUGUUAAAAAGUAUACUUUAACUGUACUAUUUAUAUGAAAUUCAUAUUUUUUAAGGUUAAUGGAUCUGAAACUCUGAACAUAACCUUUUGAAAUGUAAACAAAGGCUAAGAGAAAUAAUAUCUCAGACCCAGUCAUCUAAACCUUUAACGUAAGGGACUGGAGCGUAACUCAUGUGCGGAGCAUAUACAAGGCCCCAGAUUCUAUCUCCUGAAAGAUCUUUACCAAGGAACAACUUAUCAGAUUCUUUCUCCAAAGACGGAAUGAACAAUUUAAUUUGGGAGAUGGAGAGGUUAAAAAAGAUGGGAUAAUUCUGUGUCAAAAGUAUCACCUCAAGAUAAAUUUUAUGCCACUACUUGAGUAAGGGGCAGUGACUGGAAGCUAAUUAAAGAAUUCCUCCUACUUCCCAAUUUUCUAGGACACAUAAUAUGCCUUGUAAGUACUGUAAUAAAGUUCUUUUUAUAGCCAAAGGCAAAUGACACAUUCCUAUCCAUCUAUUCAUACCCCUUAAUUAUAGCACUACUUUCAGUAAC
rnacentral:lncRNA from 1 species